rnacentral:lncRNA from 12 species
AUGCCCCUGUGGGCAGCAAGCUCCUUCCUGUCCCCUCCGAGCCUGGCUUCUGGGCUCAGCGGGUCAGCACUUUCUACAAAGUCCACACGCAGCACACAGAGCCCGGCUAGGCAGUACGUGGCACGCCUCCGGGGGAGCAAGCCGCCAGGACCCGCCGCAUGCCAGGGGCACGACCAUUUCCCUGGUGCACACUCCCCGCCAUGCUGCCCGCCCUCCUUGAGACCCCUGCGCCUGGAUCUCCUCCCUCUGCCCGCCUUCCUGUCUCCUCCUGAUGUCCCCAGUUCCCAGCGGGGAGCGCGGCGGCCAAGGCACCCUGCCCUCCCCACCCGGCCGCCCUUGCUUCCUCCUUCAGCCAGCUACACUCCCGCUGCAGACAGAGGUGAAAGACCCCCCGGAGGAGGGCGUCCCAGACCUGCUUGGAACCUGGUAGAUGGCCACGGCCCCACGAGACUGGAUCCGGACUAUGGCAGCACAUCCCUUGGGAUGGAAAACCCUGUCCAAAGAAACAGCCUGCUCUCCUGGUCCCCUGGCCCACCCACCCACCUACCUGCGCGCCAACCCCACACUGGGACCUCCUCUUUGGGUGGUCAGCAACAUCUCGAGACCAACAUCUGCACAGCCCAACGUUCAUCUGAGCCUGGUCUCACCUGCCGCCCCCCGGCCAUGGUGGGAGACGGGCCCAGCCGCGAGACGCAAGGUUCCAAGAGCAGAGAACAUAGGACAGAGAGAAGGCUGUCGGUCAGAUGAGGCGGGCAGGGCAGGUGCUGGGACCAUGGACUCGGGGAGUCCUGAUGGCGGCUCCUUGGGGGAGAGGGAGCUAUGGAGGCUGGACAUGGGACUGCAGAGAGAUGGAGCAGCAUCCAUUUGGCCAAAGAGCAGUGUCUUUCUUUCCAAGGGAGGCAAGACGGACCACCAUUUUGUGACGCCGGUGUGUGCUGUGGGCACUCUCAGCCUCCCGGUGGCCCGGAGCAGGCCUGGGCUGGGCCGUGGGCAGGUGGGCAGACAGGCAUUCCCUCCGGGAGCAGACGCAACAUUUGAACACAGAAAUGUAUUUCGGAGUUUGGUGGGGUAGGCGGGUGAGCGGAGUGCAGGGUGUAUGCAGGGCUGCUGGUCCCCACCAAGAGGCUGGGGCGUCUUUGGGCCACAUGGGGAGCAGAGAGGAGAUGGGGUCUGCUGAGAUGGUUGUGUCCAGGACUGGCUGCAUGCCCUCCUCCCCUGGGCUGGGGGCAGGGCCCUGGGGACUGGGGUCCAGGGCAGGUGCUCUGCUCAUGGCCCGAAGUGGGGGCCCUGGUGGAGGGCACCUCGGCACAUUAGGCCCAGAGGAAGCCCAGCCUGGCUAAGUGGCGUGGAGUAACUCAAUCAGAAGAAAUAUGGAGGAACCUUCUAGAAAACCCGAGCCACUCAACUCAUCCCUCUCCAUCCCCAGGACCCUCCAUUUGAUGAGUGGUGCCCAGUACUCCCCUUGGGGUGAGGAAGGCAGGACCCCAUCCAGGCCAGUUUGGACCUCACCUCACUGGUCUCUGUCCUCUCUGGGCCUCUGUCCUCUUACAUGAGGGUACAGCAGCUCUAUCCCCAUCCCCUGGGUUGGAGCUGGGUGGCAUCUGGAGGGAGUCUCAGAACAAUGCAUUGUUGAGCUCAAGACCAGGGUGGGGGUGGGUGGGACACCGUGGAGUGGUGUGGAUCAGGGUCCUGGUUACUCCCAGCCCAAUGGGGUUGGGGGCUGGGAAUCAGGACGAGGGGCACAGGGGCUCUCUCCUGAUG